UACGUAGGGUGCGAGCGUUAAUCGGAAUUACUGGGCGUAAAGCGUGCGCAGGCGGCGCGUUAAGACAGGUGUGAAAGCCCCGAGCUUAACUUGGGAAUUGCGCUUGUGACUGGCGAGCUGGAGUGUGGCAGAGGGAGGUGGAAUUCCACGUGUAGCAGUGAAAUGCGUAGAGAUGUGGAGGAACACCGAUGGCGAAGGCAGCUUCCUGGGCCAGCACUGACGCUCAUGCACGAAAGCGUGGGGAGCAAACAGG
rnacentral:rRNA from 1 species